rnacentral:rRNA from 1 species
UACGGGGGGAGCAAGCGUUGUUCGGAUUACUGGGCGUAAAGGCGCGUAGGCGGUCAGCACAAGUCAGUUGUGAAAUCUCCGGGCUUAACUCGGAAAGGUCAACUGAUACUGUGCGACUAGAGUGCAGAAGGGCAACUGGAAUUCUCGGUGUAGCGGUGAAAUGCGUAGAUAUCGAGAGGAACACCUGCGGCGAAGGCGGGUUGCUGGCUGACACUGACGCUGAUGCGCGAAAGCCAGGGAGCGAACGGG